CCCUUAGAUGUUCGGGGCUGCACAUGCGCUACACUGAAGGAAUCAACGUGUAUUUGCCCUUGCCCGAAAGGGUUGGGUAACCCGUUGAACCUCCUUCGUGCUAGGGAUUGGGGCUUGUAAUUAUUCCCCAUGAACGAGGAAUUCCCAGUAAGCGCGAGUCAUAAGCUCGCGUUGAUUACGUCCCUGCCCUUUGUACACACCGCCCGUCGCUACUACCGCUUGAAUGGUUUAGUGAGAUCCUCGGAUUGGUCCCGCCACGGGAGGAAACUUUCGAGGCGGAGUGCCGAGAAGACGAUCAAACUUGAUCAUUUAGAGGAAGUAAAAGUCGUAACA
rnacentral:rRNA from 1 species